rnacentral:rRNA from 1 species
GAUGAACGCUGGCGGCGUGCUUAACACAUGCAAGUCGAACGAUGAACCUCACUUGUGGGGGGAUUAGUGGCGAACGGGUGAGUAACACGUGAGUAACCUGCCCUUGACUCUGGGAUAAGCCUGGGAAACCGGGUCUAAUACUGGAUACGACCUUCUGGCGCAUGCCAUGUUGGUGGAAAGCUUUUGUGGUUUUGGAUGGACUCGCGGCCUAUCAGCUUGUUGGUGGGGUAAUGGCCUACCAAGGCGACGACGGGUAGCCGGCCUGAGAGGGUGACCGGCCACACUGGGACUGAGACACGGGCCAGACUCCUACGGGAGGCAGCAGUGGGGAAUAUUGCACAAUGGGCGCAAGCCUGAUGCAGCGACGCCGCGUGAGGGAUGAAGGCCUUCGGGUUGUAAACCUCUUUCAGUAGGGAAGAAGCCGGCUUUUGGGUUGGUGACGGUACCUGCAGAAGAAGCGCCGGCUAACUACGUG